UACGUAGGUGGCAAGCGUUGUCCGGAUUUACUGGGCGUAAAGGGAACGCAGGCGGUCUUUUAAGUCUGAUGUGAAAGCCCCCCGGCUUAACCGAGGAAUUGCAUCGGAAACUGUGUUUCUUGAGUGCAGAAGAGGAGAGUGGAACUCCAUGUGUAGCGGUGGAAUGCGUAGAUAUAUGGAAGAACACCAGUGGCGAAGGCGGCUCUCUGGUCUGUAACUGACGCUGAGGCUCGAAAGCAUGGGUAGCGAACAGG
rnacentral:rRNA from 1 species